UACGUUGUUUUUCCGAAGCCCGUAAGAAAUAUUUCAGAAGAAACUUCAGAAAAUGUUCGAGAAUGAGGGCCACUAUUCUUGGAACUUUACAUCCAUCUAAUGAAUCCGAUGCCACAUAGAUUGUAUUGGUUUGUGCAGACAUUUUUACUCCUUGUGCCUACUCUCUUUUAAAGGUGUGGAGAGUUUCCGUGUCUCAAGGCAGGCAGAGACCCAAUCCCCCAUGGUGUCCCUGUGGUCUGUGUAUGACCAAGCCAUGGAACAUACCGGCAAGGCAGUUGGAGAAGAGAACCUUGCUGCAGCUUUAAAAAUGGCCACUGACACGGCAGGCAGUAUGAUAACUGCAGCAAGCGGGCUCCUAGAUACCUUCUUCAAUGGACCCUAAAAGUACCUCAGGACAUAUAGAUUUCUCUGGUCCCAGUGAUGUCAUCUUUGCUGAGCCAAAAAGGAUUCCAGUGCAUAUCUCACAAAUGAUUGUAAUGGAAUCCAUUCACUUUGAAUAAGACUGUCAAUGGGAUUUUCUUUUUUUCAAGAUCAGUUUGUUUUAAGUAUUAAAGUCAAUAUGAUGAAUAACACAAUGAA